UUUCUCUCUCCGCCUUCUAAAUUCCUCUCUCUCUCUCUCUCUCUCCCCUGAUUUCUCAUUUGAGUUUUGAGAUUAGCUGUUCAAUUUCAGUUAAUUGAUUGUGCUGGAGAAGCUCUUCCAUUGUGAAAUUUUCCUCGUCUAACACUGAUUCAACGGUUCAACCUAUGGUUACAUGACAAAUACAUUUCAAUUUGAACAUCAAGUUUGAAUUUCAAAUAAAAUGUCAGAGUAAAUGAACAACUACUGUAGUUAAUGUAACAACUACAUUGCAGCACAAUAACAAGACAUCUCUGCCUCAAAAUAAAUGGCCAUAUAUUGAGAAGAAUAAUGUAACUUACCAUAUAAAUCACCAAAGAGGGAUAUGAAAAAUGAUGCGGCCUGCGAUUGCAAGCCUUUGAAGAGCAUCAACAUAUUGGAAAAUUGAAUAACGAGAGAGUUUGACAAGCAGGCGAUAAUUCCAGGGCCUCACUGCUAGGAACCAUCAACAAAUUCGGUAUUCAUCUACUAAGACCGACCAAGGCUACUGAUCAGCAGGCUAAGGAUUACCACAACUACACCAACUGGUGAUGCCAGAACCCAGAUAAGUGCUUUUCCAUGCUUUCCAUUCGAUUGCUCCAUACUAUCAUCUGCAAGUAUCCCUUCAAACAAAGAUAAAUGGAGUAAUAAAUUUCAGUAUCUCUUGUAGGGAGUUCAUUAUGUUAUUGACUGAGUUACAAAGGUUCUGCAAGAUUUUAAUGCAACAUUCUUUAUUCUCCUACCUCUAUUUUUUGGUGAUAUUUUUAAUGUGAUUGAUGCUAUAUAUCAGUCCCUUGUUCGGUAGAAAACUAAAUGCCUACCAAUUAGUUUCAAGAAUGUGACUGGGGGUCUAACCAGUCACUAUGCUUAUAAAUUCAUCUUAAAAAUUCAGACUACUUUAUAGUAAAGAAUUAGGAGUAGCUAUAAUUUGUUAGUUCCUUGUUACAUUGAGAGCAGACCGAAGUUUGCAGUUAAUAGUGCUACAUGGUUUACAAGCAUAGGCACAACACUUCAGGUCUUCUUUCUUCAAAAUGGCUGCAACCGUAAAUUCUUUUACUAUCUUCAGGCUUCAGGUAAUUCACUAAAAAUUAUUAAAUAGCAAAAA